UACGGAGGGUGCAAGCGUUGUUCGGAAUCAUUGGGCGUAAAGAGCGUGUAGGUGGUUAAAUAAGUCAGAUGUGAAAUACCUUGGCUCAACCAAGGAAGUGCAUCUGAAACUGUUUAGCUUGAGUACGGGAGGGGAAUGGCGGAAUUCCCAGUGUAGAGGUGAAAUUCAUAGAUAUUGGGAGGAACACCAGUGGCGAAGGCGGCCUUCUAGCCCGAUACUGACACUGAGACGCGAAAGCGUGGGGAGCAAACAGG
rnacentral:rRNA from 1 species